CCAUCGGAAAGCUUGCUUUCUGAGAAGACCUAGUGGCGAACGGGUGAGUAACGCGUGGGCAACCUGCCCCGGAGAUUGGGAUAACUGAUGGAAACAUCAGCUAAUACCGAAUACCGUUCUCUGAUCGCAUGAUCGGAAAACGAAAUGUUCCGGCGCUCCGGGAUGGGCCCGCGUCCCAUUAGCUUGUUGGUAGGGUAACGGCCUACCAAGGCGACGAUGGGUAGCCGGCCUGAGAGGGUGAUCGGCCACACUGGGACUGAGACACGGCCCAGACUCCUACGGGAGGCAGCAGUGGGGAAUAUUGCGCAAUGGGCGAAAGCCUGACGCAGCAACGCCGCGUGGAGGACGAAGGUUUUCGGAUUGUAAACUCCUUUCAGCAGGGACGAAGCCGCAAGGUGACGCUACCUGCAGAAGAAGCCCCGGCUAACUACGUG
rnacentral:rRNA from 1 species